rnacentral:lncRNA from 1 species
AUGGAGCUGAGACAUUUACUGCCUGUGCCAAGCAGUGCCAAGCACCUCUGGAAGCCCCUGCCUAGGACCCCCAGAUUUAGAUUCAUGCUGCAGUCUGGAGAGUGUUUUGACGGCUGCCGGGCUACAGGGAAAAGCACACUGCACACUGCCUCUGAGAUGAGACAGAGCUCUACAGGCUGGGAGUCUGAGGAAGCCGGAAACAAAUACUCUGCUUCCUGCAGGGAAAAGCAAAGCCCACUUCACCAUUGGCCAUCAGGUCCCAGGAGGAUCACUUUUCUUAUGCAGCAUCCUACCUCUGCGCCAUGGGAAGAAGCCAACCCACUUUCCAAUGGCAAAACCGAGUUCAUACACACCAUAUUCUUCAGCGUCUGUACUUCCCCUGCCAGUUGGAUCUGUGUUCUUUUGCAGUUCUGGGGACUUUUCAAGACUCUACUGAUUAAAUCUGCAAAGAAUAUCAAUAAUGCAAUUCAGAAACUGGCUUUCUGA